rnacentral:lncRNA from 1 species
CUUUGAUACUCUGGUUAGAGAUGAUCCAAUCGCUGAUGACUUUGUUUUGUACAACACCCCUCAUUUUGAUGUCACCACAAACGACUUCAACAAUGACAGUCUCCGAAUGAAGUGUGUAGCAAACAGAGCAGAGGAAGAAUUCCGUUUGAGUUGUCAGGCAAUGGUUUUGAAGCCGCUCAUGUCCAAUCACAGGCUGAUCUUCUCUUCCUGACACAUGAGUCCAGCAUCAUCCCCACCACCCACCCACCCACCUCUGACUGAGACCAGGGUUGUGAUUCCUGGCACGAAAUGAAGGAAAAUGGUCCGAAACGGAGUGAUGCGGCAAGGAAGCCAGGGCGAUGGUUCCCAACUGUAAUGUUAUGUAUGAAGCCUCACAAAUGCAAGCACCAUUCAAAUCUACUUUUCUUAUUACAAACACACGUUCAUGGAUAGUUACCUGUACCCACUCACAUAUUUAACCCUAUGCUGAAUUCAAACUGAGGCACAUUUUGUGAUGACUUGAAAUAUGUAUUAGUUGAAAAUAACUUUGCUUGAGUUUUCAUUUGGAAUUAGACACCCAAGCCGAUAGAAAGUGAACAUUAAAUAAGUGUUUUGAACAAAUGGGUCGUUGAUGUUUUCCAAAUACCAAAUGUUGAAAUAUGAUCGUAUCACAUCAGAUUUUUUUUUUUUGGUGCCAUUUAGUCAAUAUCACUCUUACUCAAAUACUCUAGCGGUCUCGCUGGAUGAUAGA